AUAUUUUCAUACCAUCCAACUAAAACGCCACUGCAGAAACAAAGUUGCUGAACAAAUAACCAUUUUAUGCUUUUUUAAGAUGCACUAAACACAUGGGGGAGGAAAGAACGUAAAUAGAGAAAAGUUUAAACCUAUAGUAUUGACUGUGGAAAAGCAGGACAGACUAAAGUCGCAUAAUGAAUUGUAUUAGAUUGCAUUAAAUGUAUGUACUUGCUUUAUUUGCAAGAAAUUCUACUGAAAGAAAAGACAGGGUCUUAUCUAUUAUGGAGUCCCUAGUGCCCAGCCAGCCAUCAGUUAGUAUUAUAAAUCGACUGCUCUGUUAUCUUGAGUGCUCAGGGCCAUUCUGCAUAGAUGGUUUUGAUAAGGUAACCCACACUGUGGCUUAGGAAAUGUAAUUUGUUUCUGCUUUUUGAAGCCAUGGAUGAACAUUGGUGUUGCACCAUUGGGUGUUCUCUGUGGGACAGUUGGAGCCAUGCCUGGAGGUCUCACUCUACCAAUGGCACGUGUGAUCAUCCUGUGGACUAGAGCACCCUAUAACAGGCUACCUUCUUGCUGUUUCUGUCACCAGAGGUCCUAGGGUGGUAUCCAUGGUGAAGUUUCCUUAUUCUCAAGGCCGCUGGGUGCUGAAUGGUGACCCUGUGCAUUUCUGGCCUUGCUAACACCAUCCACAGAAUCUCAGGCAGGAAAUGCUGGAUGCAGAAAGAAGCCUUUCGUUUCUAAAAAGGGACUGUACUUAUUGUCCCUGUGGCUGUUAGUUCUAUUUAUUCAUUCGUUCAUUCACCCUUGCUCUAUUCUAUCUGUCAGUGAUUGAGCAAACAGACGAAGAUUUAAGAAUAGGAAAUGUGGAAUUGGGAGAGAAAUGCAAGUUAAUAGUCUUUGUGACUUAAAUUCAGGGGGAUUUUAAAGGUUCAGAAUACAGGCUUAGGCAAAAAGUGACUUGUCGAGUGUGGAAAAAAUAUUCCCACCAAAUGUAGAACGAAAGUGGACAAAACUCGCACCUGCAAUUUUGAUGUGAAAAAGGGAGCCCUUCGUCACUUUCUGCAGAAGUGUGUUUUCGCAUCUGGGUUGCAUCUUAACGCUGGGGCUCCAUGUUACCAAAGACAACGAUCUAUUGUUCUGGGGAUCCUUGUGAAUAGUUCCUAUGUACAGAUUGGUGAAAUCUCAGACUUGACCAGGAUAUUUUACAGAUUAGGUGGGUUUCAUUUUAAAGUGGUUUGAAGGGAAAGCGAAACCACCCCCAUGGCUCUUGUGGAAAGAGAUUUUUAUAGGCAGUUCAGAAGGCUGGAAAGGAGCCUGGCCGACCUGUGAGCACAUGGCCACACCUUACCAUCUCCCCCUCCUCCGUAAGGACGAGUGAGUGUUGACUGAGAGUGUUUUUAAGUGUCUGUUGGUGUGUUGCACUGAUGUGCCUGAUGCUUUUUCUCAUAUCUUGAGGUUUUACAUCAAGAUAGAAUUUACCACUGAAGAGGAGGCAGGUUUUCAUCUCAGAUCUCCUCUCUGAGCUGUGCGUCUGUGUGUGGGUGUCCUUUUUUUUUUUUUUUUUUUUUUUUUUUUUUUUUUUUUUUUGCUGCUUUGGACCAUGGCCUCAUAAGUGAAGUAAGGUCAGAGAAGUCGAGUAUUUGGAUGGGAAACCUCCAAGGAAAACCCAGGUGCUACAGGAAAUGGUCAUGGUGACUCAGUUGUUGGCCUUCUUCCCUUUGAAUUUGGAUGGAAAGUGUCCUGGCAGGAUGCGUGGAGGAAAUAAGCUACAGCGUCACAUGAAAUGGAGAAGCUUUGUCUAAUGACCGUUUAUAAUCAAUAGCACCCACUACAGGCUCGCAACCGCACAGUGUUAAAUUGUUCAUUUUUUUGUCUUCUCCUGCCUCCCCCUGCUUGCUGUCUUUCCAUCCUCUCCUUGCUCCCGUCUUCAUUCUUCAGGCUUUGUCCUUCCUCUUCAUUUUCUCUCCACUUGCUAAUUCCUGCUGGUGUUGACUCUCUUAAGCCUUAUCGAAGAUUCCAGGUGAGUGAACUCCCACCUACCAUAGACCUUUUGCCAACAUAGGAAUGCUUUUGUCUUCCGUGGCUUACUAUUCACCUUCUAGAAAGACUUCUGGACCCUAAACUCUCCUGUGAGCUCCCUGAAAGGAGAGGAUAGUUGAAAGAACACCAAGAUGAGGGGCUGUAAAUUCUGUUCCAGGUUUUAUACUGGCAGCUUGACCUCUCCAGUCCUCAGUUUACCCAUCAGCUCAUGUAUACUUACGUCAUUGACACUCUCUCAAAACUCCUUAUUUAGGAUUGUCCCUUCUGAUAAGAGUGUAUUUUAGGAUCCUUUUCACUGUUGUUUGUUUAUUAAAUACUUGAGCAUUUGUGGAACAGACCCUCAGUGUCUCAACACUCUACACUGUCCUGUGAGGGAUCUGUGACAUAGGGAAGCUCUCUUACUCUGAGAGCUGAAAAAAGCUCAUGUAAUGCUAUCCUCCUGUACUUUUUUAAACAGACAUAAAUAAAACAGACUUAACCACUUGCUUCUCAAAUUUUUCCAUCAAAUAGCUUUUUUGCUUUAUAUGCUGGCUCUCUCCUUUUCAGUCCCUCCAAAAAAGAUUUUAAAAUGGUGUCAUUGGGUUUCCUGACAGUGAGAAUAGAAGCAAUAGUAACCAAUUCAUUCCUGCCUGUUGUGUCAUUUCAGAAGUAAUGUUUCUGACAGAAACUAAUAGCUUGUAUUUCUAAAUUCGGGGCUAGGUUGGGGAUCAGUAGCCCUCUUGAGGCACCUCACUUAGGUUGGUUUCUGCACCACACCACCCCCCCCCCCCCACCCCGCCAUUCCCAUACUACUCAUGACUUCGUGAAGGAAGAAAAUCAGAUGCACAGAGAACGACAUCUGACCUCCAGGAAGUGUGAGCACAUGGGGCCCUGGGUAUCCCUUUAAAACCUUCUGCUGCCCUUCAAAACCUUCUGCUGGUAGUCUCUGGACUCAGGUACAUCUAGUACCAGGAACUAUUUCCAGAAUCUGCCCUAGUGGAGCAUAAUGCCCUGGGAAGAGCCAAUAGUUAAUCAAUAGCUAACUGCUGCUGGUCUCUAAGGUCAGGUGUAGCCCUAAUGGGUCACAGAAAACAGAAGCCUGUUACAGCUCAGGGGAAGCUGAUACUCUCUCUCUCCCCUCAAUUCAUUGUCUUUAAUGUUGCAUUACUGUUCCACAGAAUUCACUUGGAAAUUACUCACUAAUUGUUCUGCCAGAGGUUAGCUGCCUACUUUUCUCUGUUAGUAAUCAUAACUAGAUAGUCCUUGAGUUUUAAGUCAGGGUGGGAAGUAACUCUGACUGGGAGAUGGUAAUGAGCCACCAAAAAUGGACCACACGGGUGUCACUGGCUUUUCAGCUGUGGCCAUCAGUUUUGAUCUUCCCCUGAGACAGAGCAGUUUUCAUAAUGUGGAAAGGUACGCACUUUGCUGGUCCCUUCCUCCUCCUGUGGUGACUCAGAUGAAUUGUGGCGUUUACAGGCAUGGGACCUGAGAGCCGACCUUGCAUUUUUAUAGACUUUUAGCCACUGUUUGCCUCCGGGAGAUACCACUGGAAAGGAAGGAGGUCAUUUUCAAAGUACUGUUCUACUUGACUGUAGGAUGAGCCACCAUUAUAUUUUAACCUCUUCCUGAUCACACUGUGGCCCCCACCCCCACGUUUAUCCCUACAUUUGCAUUUUAAUUCACAAGUCAUAGGUUUCCGGCUGGCAGAAAGCAGGCCCAAACCCUUAUGAGGGUUUCUAUCUUUUGCUAGAUUUGAGUUUUAUACCCAGCCUGACUUCAAAGAAACAGCAAACUUACUGCUUUAUGAAUCCAGUUUUAGUUUAAUCCAGAAUCAUGAGUAGGAGAACACAGCAAAACCAUGCUUCGAUGCUAGGUUUCUCAAGGUGAACGUUCUUUCCCACAAUGGAGAUUUGGGGAUAGGAGUUCAGGAGGGAGGACCUACUGCUUAAAGCUCACUACCCCAUCCACUAACCCUCCCUGCCCUCGAGCUAACCAACCCCUUUGUCCUGCCCACAUCCCUCUUUUGGGCACCUCCAGAGCCACAUUAUCUGCCCUGUUGCUUCUCUGCCUGAUGGCACUGAGGUAUCCAGUAGGGGGUGGGAGUUUUUCUCUAGAAGCUAAAAUGUAGGGAUUGAGGACUGAUCUCUCUAGGGUAGGGAGGGGCUUUUACUAAAAAGAAUUAGUAACCUCCAGCUGACUUGCACAUCAAUGCCUGCUCGGUCUGUUUUAAGGGAUGGUGAUCUGGCCUUUUUUCUUUUCUUUUCUUUUAUUUCUUUUCUUUUCUUUUUUUUUUUUUUAACAAGUAAAAGAACAAACUUCACAGUCAGAUAGGAACUUUCUUUUCCAUUUUAGAAAACGUUCAGUCCUGUAAAGGAAGUGUGUAUGGAAACUUGUCAACAGAGUUUUACUCUUAGAUAAGGUUUUCGGUUGUACCAUAUAGAAGCCCUACCUGGUGCUGUGUGGCCUGGAACCCUAUUGCUGAUAUGUUUCAGUCACAUGGCAUCCACUGAGGGAGACUUGGAUUCCGAGUGUCUGCUUUAUCUCUUACCAGUCAAGCAAGUAACUGAGGCCCCAAGUCUUAGCUUCUCCACUCGAAAUCAGUGUCCGUUAUCCCACCGGGGUUCGGUGGGUUAACUUGGGCAACAGCAGAUGCAGUGUAAUGAGUAUUUCAUGUCCCCUAAGUGCAUAUUAGGAUCUGGGGCAGGAAAAGUCAGCCAUUAGAAGGACUGUAUGAGGGGAUUAUGACAUUCUUCUGUGGAACUUUGAGGAGCCUUGAGGCUAGUGUCUCCAGUUUGAACAAAACAAACACGGAUGUCAGUGCUAUAUAUAGAUGUUAAUUUGCCAUUAGCUUGGCUUCCGGACAUGACAUGUAGAGAACAUACGAAAGAACCAAAAAAAUAGCUUUGUGGGAAUGUGACUAGUACAGUUCCCAAGAUUCAUCCUCCCAUGUGACUCAGCUAGCCCAGAUAGGAAUUUCACAUGUGGCCGUCCUGGUGACUAAUGAGCCAACACAGCUGCAAAACAUAGGCGACUAAGAAUGACAUAAAUGGCACAGAAAUCAAGGAAGUAUAAUUUGACGUAGAAAGAGUAGAAGAGGCCAGCAGCAGGUGGAGCCCACAAAGCCCCUGGGGACCCAUUAUCGAGCCAAACCACGCUCAGCAGUCCUGUUGCAGAAACCUCAUGGAGCUGACAACAGGCCAUAGAUUGUCGCUUUGUAGACACCUAGGUUAGGAAGAGCCAACUUAGCUCAUUUAGGGAUUGAGCUGGCCCCUUAGCAGGUGCUUGGUAAUUAGUUUACUAAAAACAUUACCUCUUAGCUUAGGUGUCGCACAGUUAGCACUGAUAAUCUUUCAGAAUGCUUCUUGGCACCAGUGAAUUUGCCCAUGGCCUCUCUGGUUGGACAGACAGCCGUUCACAGAAGGUACUGGAGCUUCAGCAAACACAGUGACUUGCUGGGUCUCCCACAGUGUGGGAGAGAGCCCCCUGAGAAUCCGGCCAACGCCUUCUCCAAGGUGCCGCACUGCUUUGGUUGCGUAGCGUUGGUGCAGUGAGAAAACUGGUUUGCAUUCCCCAAGCCAUCGCCCCUGCCUGACUGAAAUACAAGGGAAGCUGCCACUUGCCAGGCCUGUGUGCUCUUUCAGUCAUUCUCGGGGAACGCCCUCAUGGAGAUUGCAGAGUGGGGUCCCGGGAUCAUGUGGCACUCGCUCCAUCACAAACCAUCUUUCACACAGGAGCCUUAAGCCCAGUCAGUGACCUGGCAGAGUAGUAGUGUUUUGCCACAUCACAGACCUUCAGUGCCACACCCACGGGUGGUUUCAGAGAGCCAGGGGGCCAGCAUCCUCCCCUGUAGGCUCUGUUGGUGGGAAGUAGGCCAGGAUAGAUUUAGAACUGAGAGGGGCUCAUGGGUACCAAAGGCAGAGCUAAGUUAAAAGGAGCCCUCACUUUUAGGGAUCUCCGCCCCAGAUAUCUGCACACCUGAAGCAGAUUCUGUCAUUUGUCACGUGUGCAGGAUGGGUUAUUGUGUGUUUGGGGAGCAGACUUUGUGGGCAACUUCUGGCUGCUACUAAAUGACAAAUCCCUUUCUUGGUCCGUGGCACCUAAUUUAUCAACUCAUGUUUUUCAUGCUUGUUGGAUGCCAGCUGGAAGAUGACUGCCUUGUGCCUUGGCCAGGUGGAUGGACUAAGUUCGUCCAUGCCUGCCGUGGUUCACGCGUCAAUACUACGGCAGCCUGUCCUACAGUCACCCCUUGCUACUUUCCUUUCCCUUCUCUGGGCCAGUGGCAACCUUCUGGUCUUAUCAAAGCACUGGACAUUCAGAUGAGCCUCCAUAUUGGGAGGAAUAUAUAGGAACGUUGUAUUCCUUGGAUUCAAAUCAGAGGACCUGCUGAUUAUCCUUGACUAUUUCAGGGACCUAAGCCUCUCCCACUAAUAGAAACAUCUAGUGUGCCAAGGGCUAAGAUGCAUGCAGUAUUUAUUUAGUAACAUGCAACACAAACAAUCCCACCCCCCUUUUCUUACCCGUGAAAGUAACUCUGUGCCAGUGUGCUCAAAAUGAAAGAGCCAUCACUGAGGGGAGAGUGAGGUUUGGCACGAGGAACCUUUGAAUCCAUCCAGAUGUGGAGCGUCUCUACCCCCUGUUAGGAGCCCCUCCUUAUAUAUGGUUAUGCUGAACGCAUACACGCUCUUUUAUUUCUCAAGCCAACAUUUAUCUUUGAUGUUGCCUAGGGCUGGCCAGUGCUGGCACGACUUCUAAAUAUAGACGUACUAGCAGACUAAAUCUUUGAGGCUGGCAGUAGUUCAGUUGGCCAGCGCAACUUUAUUUUUUAUUUGAUUUAUCGUUGCCAUUUUUGACAGGUUGGACUAUGCUGUUACAGAGAGUGCCCAGCCCCAGAAUCAUUCGGCCCAGGUCUCGAUCCAGCAGCCCUGGGCCACGAGCACAUGACAACCGAUAACCAAGUUCACGUAACUUCUUUAGCAGGCAGUUAGUUACCAAACCUGGUAAGAGCAGCUCAGCUCCGGAAGGCAGUGGGUGCGGCUGUAAAAGAACCUGUGAGACAAGGAGGUCGAUGGAAAGAGGCCUAAGGUUAAGAAAUAUCAGGAAGAGUUCUCAUGACCAGAGGGAGGUGGUUCCCCAUGGAUUCUAACGCCCUUGUGGUGGCCACUCUGAUUUCCUUGUGCCAGGAAUCAAGCUGUCUUAAAGAGGAACAGGAAGGAUCUUUUCCAAUCUAUUAAUUAGAAGGCAAUUGAAAAUAUCAGCCAACUUCAGCUAGUAGUGCCAGUGUGGGGAAUACAGGCUCCCAGGGUUGUUAGUGCCAGGCUAAUUGGAAAUGUUAGCCAAAGCAACCACAUUCCCCACAGUCUCCAGAAUUACUCUUGGCAGAAAAAUACUGUAGCCUGAAUUAAUUGAGUUAGGCAUGAGUUAUAUGUAUAGAAUCAGCCGUGGAUGUGUUAAAUAAGCUCUUUUUAAUGGGAAACCAACCCAUUUAGAGGAUUCAUCUUCCCAAGUACUGAGGGCAGCUUUAUGAAGACACGGAAAUUAAUAAAGAAGGAAAAGGGACUUGAAAAAAUAGUUGCUUUCAGUCUUUUAGUUACAUAGUUCUACAAAUUAAGAGUUACUUUUAAACAUAUUUUAACCUUAAAAAUCAGUUGCAUUUUAUGAAAUGGAUCAAAUGCCUUUUAUUUAGCAGUUUUUAAAUAAGCAGACCCAUCUGUAAAUUGACAUCUCUACUGGAACUUUAUUCCAUUAUGUGUUUGUGAACAGAUACCACAGAGAGGUGGAAACCUAGUACCACGUGGUGGUCAUCUGAAAGGUUUUUUAAUUUGUUCACUCCAGUAGCUUUAGGCUACACCAUACCUGAACCAUCCCCAAAAGACUGUUGCAUGUCUAUAUUUUAAAAUGUGUCCGGGGCGCCUGCGUGGCUCAGUUGGUUAAGUGUCCAACUCUUGAUUUUGCCUCAGGUCAUGAUCUCACAGUUCCUGAGAUUGAGCCCCGUGUCGGGCUCAGUGCUGACAGCGCAGAGCCUGCUUGGGAUUUUGUCUCUCCCCCUCUCUCUGCCCCUUCCCUGCUUGCACACUCUCUCUCUUCUCUCUCUCUCUCAAAAAUAAAUAAAUCAACUUUAAAAAAAUCUCCCAACGUUUCUCUACAGCGAUUGGGAUAGUAUUAAAAAUCUUGCGUCAGUCUAAAAUAUAACGCUGUACGGUGUAGUAACCGCAUUGCCCUUGCUUAACAAUUUGGGUUGACUUUAUCAUCUAGGAAUCUGGUUACAGUUUUAGCUGCCACAAAAAUUCUUAAAAUCUUUUCAGAGGCCUUACUUUGUUGGAUGGCUUUGAGGAAAAAAGGCAUGUACCAAGUGCGUACAGAAAAUAGAACCCUUUAUUCAGUCAGACAUUAAACAUUUGGGUUCUAGCACGCACCUUCCACUCCCUUACCUCCUAGCGAUUUAUGGCAUGAAAAGUUCACUGAGAAACAUCAUACUAUUAAACAUAUAUGGACAUCAAAAUAGAUGAGUGCAUAACACUCCUAUCACAAGCUCCUAAUAUCACAUAACAGAUUACCUCAAAACCGGCUGGCUUAAAACAAUUACUUUCUUAGGCUCAUGUGUUCUCAGUUGGGAAUUUGAACCAGGCACUGGGGGAAUGAAGUAUGUGUUCCACAACUUCUGGAGCUUCAGCUGGACAGAGAGGCUCAUUGAUUGGGAUCUGGAAUCUUCUGGUGGAGUCUUGACUCGCUAGUGGUCACUGCUGGCUUGGAUGGAACGUCAUCUGGGGCUCCCUUGCAACGUGGCAGCCCCAGAGGAGUCAGAGUUGCGAAAAAUGGGUCUUCUGGGGAAAAGACAGAAGCUUUAUCACCUCUUCAGACCUAGCUUUGGAAGUCACACAGCUUCAUUUCCACUCUAUUCUGUCAGUAGCAAGCGCGUCAUGAUGUCACAAGCCCACUCAAGUUCGAGGGAAAGGACCAUAGACUUUCUUAGUCAUGCAAAACCAUUAAAAACCUUCUUUUCCCCUUGUCUUUGUAUAGCACAUACAGUGUUUCAGGUACUGAGUCCUAAGAUCGUCAGAUACAAGGGCACAGACUUUGAAGGGCAAAGUCUUGUUCCUACCUCUGCUUCUCUUCCAAGUGUCCUGGGAAGAGGGAGAAGGAAGGCAAAUAUGUACCCGGGGAUGCAGUGGUAGGUAGGACGGCACUCAUCCUGGCACCCGGUACAGUUCUGCUAGCCCGGAGGGUGUGGCUUGGGGGCGCUCAAACACUGCCCUUCUCAGUUAAUAGAUGGAAGACAUCACUGCCUGCUCCCUUACUGGUAAGGACAGGGAACCCAUGAGAUGAACAGUAUUCCUGCCACAGGUGUCACACUUGAAAAGCAGGACCAUGUGUCCUUUUCCCUUGGGUGACUCACACGAGGUCAGCAAAAUAUUUAAUCUGGGGGAGGAGAUAAUUAAGAAAUAUGUUAACAAUUUUAUUAGCUAUAAAAUUUAAAAUUUUUAAAACUACAAAUUAGAAAGAAAUGGAAAAAUAUUUAAGUAAAUAGUAAAAGGGCAGAAGAAAGAUCAAAUAGGAUAAAAGAGACUAUGUUCCUUAAAAUAUUUAAAGCCUUUUACGUUUAUAAUUUAUCUCCAAAUUUUAUCUUGCAGAAUGAAAGAUUUCAGAAGGCACGUCCUUUCCCCCACCCCUCCCAGUGGCUAGGGGAGUAUCUUUGUCCCCGAGGUUAUUAACACGUCUUGAAAAGAACAUUUCCAAGGGUGAACCAUUCUCUGCUAUUUAGCCACGUAGGAGUCCACGUUUUCCAUGUUCCUCUAUGCUUCCUUCUCUUAUCCCUGCCCGUUCAGUCUGGCAUAAUGUUGGAGGUUAUUGACAGUUGACAUUCUUCACAAGUUAGCAGGAACCUUAUAGGACCUAGAAGAACAUCUGGGCUCUGAUUAUUAUUAGGACUUGUAACCAAAUGUGUGACCUUUCUAAAAAGUGAGUGCUCUAAGAAUUCUAAGUGUUACAAGACUGACACUUUGCCCAAAGAUGGUGCCUCUCUUCGGUAUGUGAGUCUAAACGGAAAAGAGACACUUGCUCACCCAGGAUGAGACAGAGAAGAUGUCCUGUGAAUAUCUGCCAGGUGAGCUCGGUGGUGAAGAGAGGUGCAGUGGUGCAGGGCAUGGGCUGCCUGCGACAUGCUCGAGGGAGUGGGGAGUAGCCGAUUCGGUGGGGUCUCGGAUGUAGAUAAUAUGCAAUGUACUUCAGUUUCAUCGGUAAUAAAGAGGAGGUGAGGCAAAACUGAGCAGCUCGGGCCCAGGGAAGGGCUGAUUUGACAUAUUCUGUGUACACACACCAGCUUGCUGGCCUUCUGGAGAGCAGUUGUGACCGGGAAUGGAAGACAAGCACCCUGUGUCCCGCCUCCUGGGAAACAGUUCCAUUUGUCUGGAGGCCAUGGGUGCCGAUUCGGUGCUCUCAGACAGAUUCUCCACAUCACCUGUACCUUUGGACAUGUUCUUCCUCCAGAGCCCAAGCCCCGGAGCUCUCUGAGAGCCUGGCACAGUCUGUCCCAGAAGACCACGGGGAUGCUGUCUCCCAUGGCAUUCUCCAGCUUCGCUGGCUAACCUCUCAGCUGUAGUUCGCUUUUGCACUGCAACAGCUUGUGUGAAUAUCAAUUUUUUUCUUCCCAGAUAUCCCCUUUAUAUUAAACUCCGUGUCAUACAUGAGUAUUUCCUUUUACUCAAAAGCUUCUCUCAUGUUUGAAGUGCUUUAUUCACCUACUGUCCCUUAUUUUUGCUUAUUCUCGAUGACUUCUAAACAUUUACCAGUGAGCCUCACUUCCUUCAUUCUGUGAACUCUGUGUACUCUUACCCCUUCGGACUCUACAGAUAGUGUUUCUAAAACUUGUUUCUAAGGUUCCAGCAACUCUGGGUCUUCUACAGGUUGUUAAGGACCACGCACAUAGUAGCACAUCUUGAAAGGUGGAAAAUUUGGGGUCCUCUAUCUAAACAAGUUGGAGUUUAUUUAGCAAUUGUGCCUCAUACUGAAGCAGGAAAAAAAAAAUGUUAGCAACAUAGGGAAAACGUCUUGAAGGCUACAGAAUGCCUCUUCUAAUUCUUUAGUGAGCCGCAGUGCUGUGGCCCUUUAAAAGAAAAGUCUAGUCCCCAUCAUCCAUCUUUCCCAUUCUUUUUUCUCAUUUAAGCCGCAGACAGUCCGACUUUUACCAUAUUAAAGCAAAUCAACCUAGUAAGGAACAGACUGGCUUUUAUUUACUGGCUAUAGUUCUAAGCACCAGAAAUGGGCAAAGGAGACCAAACAAAGAAAUAGGAAAAAUGAGGCAUUGAAAGGGAGCCAGCAUCGGGGUUUGGAAGACAUGAGGCUUCCGUGGCGGCAGGAUGUGCCUUUCUUGCACUGUUUACUCUGAGCUCAGAAAUAGAGGAGGAAAGAAGGUAGAUCACACUACAGCUCAAAGUGGAUACAAAACAUACCAGGGUGUGCAAGGAGUGUAAUCAGACACUGGAUGUAAUUAUGCAAAUGUAUGUAUGAACGGUUUUUCUAUGAAUACAUCGUCUGCAGCAACCUUAACACUCAAGGUUAAAGUAAGCAUAAGGGCAUGAUAGGCCAGCCACGCGGUGACUUUGCACAAGUAGCAGCUGAAAAAUGUUAUGCCUUACUGUUUGCAUCUGAAUGUACUUUGAAACCUUGAUAAUAUGAACUUUGAAUCUUAAAGAUUAAUAGGACUUCCACUCCCUUCCUGGAAAGGGCAUCACCUUGCUCGGGGAGGGGAGGCUGGGGAAUUAAGUCUGAGGAUGAACGUGCCAGGGUUGUUUUUUAAUCUGUUCACCCUCGUGACACUUCAAGCUAGUUGUAUGUUUAUUUUAUUUUUAAUUAAACUUCACCUGGAAUGUGUUUCAGUGGUAAGCAUUUGGAGGCCCGCUUCGAGGAAGGAAAUGCUUAAAUUUGCUUAGGAGGAAAAUGUGCUUUCAUCUUUCUUUAUAAAAUAAAUCGAGAACUUCAAACAUUUCUGAGGGCCCUGGGCCCAACCGUCUGAUUAGAAUGCUAAGAUCCAUUCAGUGCUAGCAUGUAAAAGGUUUUCUUUGUGUGAACAUAGAUAAAAUGCCGUGGGUUAUGGGUAUGAAAUAUUUGUUCUACUAUAUGGCUGAUAUGAGGAUUCCAUGCCUGAGCAUGGGUCAGGGCAGUUAAGUUUUUUUCUUUUAAGUCUAUUAAGACAACCUACUGGAGUGUUUUCGUUUUACUUCAAAGAAUUUGAAGCAUCAUGGAAGACUACAAAGGCAUUAAAUAUAUAUUUCCAGCCUCAUAAGACACUUAAGAGUAACGAUAACACGUAGAAGUGAAUUCAGCCAUUGUUCCACAUGCCUAUCGGACUUUCAACUCUGCAAGCAGCGAUUGAGCUCUCUUGAUUGUCCAACGCACUGUUACAAGGGAAGCAGAUAUGGGCAAGAUACAAAGGCAUGUGACCCAUAUUUAGGAAUCAGUGAGAAAUAGCUCACCAUUGCAGGAAUGCAAGUGUUCAAGGGUCGGGGGGCAAAGUGGGAAAGGAGAGGACUGGGGAGGGCUUUUCUAGCCACACCAAGCUGCAUAGACAGAUCUUAGGUGCUAUGCGUCUCCAGAACUGUCGAUCCCCACAGUGAGGGCAGACUUGCUCUUGGUUGGUCAGAUUGGGCACUUUGACCAACCCAAGUGAGGAAGAUCUUAGAAAAGG